GUUUCUUCCGUUAUCUCAAAUAUGUACUCUCUCUUUCUUCAUGAGUUAUCGCUGCCAAGCCCCCGUCGUCCCCUCAACGUCCGACCAUGACAUACAUAUACACACUCUACUCUCUUCCGCUCUUUCCUAGGAGUCGUGUGGAGCACAAAGUUGGAUCUUUUGGACGAGCUAGAGUGAGGGAAAUGGUGCUAGAUUGGUGUCCCCAUUGAGGUUUGGGAUAUGAUAAGCUAGGUUUUAUAGGUUUAAAGUAUUUCAAAUUUGCUUGGCCUUGUUGUGAGUGUGAUGAACAUGAGGGGUCGACUCAUUGCUGGUUCUCCUAAUCAAAAUGAGUUCAUUCUUAUCAAUGAUGAGAAGAAUUCAUUGAUCAGAACGAAAGGGUAAGAUUCUAAUAGUAUUCUUUAUUUUGAUUUAUCUUUUGAAUUGGGGAAUACCCAUUUUUACAAUUUUUUUUAUUCAGUUUAAUAAUUAUUGGAAAAGGGAAAAAAGGCAGGGCUUUCCCUACCGUUUUGAUGAAAUUUGGGUAUCUUUACUUACUUGAUGUGCUUGUUAAUGGAUAAUUGAUUUUGUGCCUUUUGCUUUUCUUACUCCAUUUUGUUAUGCUUUAGUUAUGCUCAUUUCAAUGUAUGUCUCUGUCUACCGUGGACUCAACUUCACUUAUCAAAAAUAAUAUAUACUGAACUCCUAAGAGCAUCAGCAAUGGCUUCUUCAUCUUCAUUUUUAUUUUUAAAUUUGAAGAAUAUGUGCUUAAAAUCAUUCACAUUGGUUUAUUCAUCUCUAAAAUUAUAAAUAACUAGCUAGAGUCUUUAUUCAAACAUGAAGAACACCUUUUCAUUCUUCAAAUAAUAUUUUAAUUAUUUUUUCUCUCAACGUCCCGAACGGCUCUCUCUUUUAUUUCUUUUUCUCUGCUCUCUCUCUCUUCUCCUCUUCUUUCUCCAUCCCCGAACGCCUCCAUCUCCCUCCUUCUCUUUUCUCUUCUCUCUCCAUCGCCGAACGCUCUCCAUCGCCGAAUGCUCUCCAUCACCGAACGGCUCUCUCUUCUUCUCUUCUUCUCUCUCCAUCCGAACAGCUCUCUCUUCUUCUCUUCGCACCCAUUUCACCCCUCUGUCUCUCGCUGCUCUGUUUUCUCUCUUGGACGCCCACAAUUUUCUGGUGGUUUCUUCAUCAACGGCGGCCUCUUCUCUCGCUCACGGCUCUGCUCUUCACGGUUUUCUCUCGGUGCAAUUUAUUGAGGCUCUGAUUUGGGUUUUUUCUCUCGGAUUUACAUGCCUCUAGAUGUGGGUUGGAGGAUUUUUUUCUGAUUUGGGUUUUUUCUGGUUAUGUACUGGUGGUUGUUGCUGUGGAGCUGCCGAGGAGCUGAAUGGUGCUGCCGUGGAGCUGCUGUGGAGCUGCCGUGGGUUUGAAUGGUGCUGCCGAGUGCCGUGGAGCUGAAUAUUCAGAUUUUAGGAGAAAAAAAAAAUUAUAAUAAUAUUUUAUUAUUAUUUGGUCAAAAAAUACAUAAUCCAAUGUAGGAAUUUUUCUUCAUCUUCAAAAUCAAUCUUCAAAAGAUGUAAUUUUAAAGAUGAAGAUACAUAAACCAUUGCUAGUGCUCUAAGCAUAACAAAUAAAGACCCAUUUGCUACAGACGUAGAUUUCAUUGCAAAUAGACAUAAUCUUUUGCAAUGAAGUGUACCCUAUUUGCAACAAAUGUAUAUUUCAUUGCAAAUAAAACCCUAUUCGAUGAUGAACCCUAGUCUUAAUUGCUCGUGUAUUAGUCUUUUAUCAAUAUUAGAUAUGUUAGUUUGAUUGUUAUUUUCUCUUAUGUAAGACUAUUUGUAGCGAGAUAUAUUUGCUGCAAAUAGUUUUUUUCUGUCGCAAAAUAGCUAUUAGCAAUGAAAUGUACAUUUAGUUACAAAUA